rnacentral:rRNA from 1 species
UACGUAGGGGGCAAGCGUUAUCCGGAUUUACUGGGUGUAAAGGGAGCGUAGGUGGUUUGAUAAGUCAGAUGUGAAAGCCCGGGGCUCAACCCCGGGACUGCAUCUGAUACUAUCAGGCUUGAGUGCAGGAGAGGUAAGUGGAAUUCCUAGUGUAGCGGUGAAAUGCGUAGAUAUUAGGAGGAACACCAGUGGCGAAGGCGGCUUACUGGACUGUAACUGACACUGAGGCUCGAAAGCGUGGGGAGCAAAC